AUUUAAGUAGCUUAAAUUAGAGCACAAUAUUGAAGAUAUUGAGGUAAUAUUCAUUCUUAAAUA
rnacentral:tRNA from 1 species